rnacentral:rRNA from 1 species
CCGCUGAACUUAAGCAUAUCAAUAAGCGGAGGAAAAGAAAAUAACAAUGAUUCCCUCAGUAACGGCGAGCGAAGAGGGAUAAGCUCAAAUUUUAAAUCUGUUGGGUUCCGCUUAACAGAGUUGUAUUUUGAAGAAACGUUUUCUGCAUCCAGGAUUAGCCUAAAUCCUUUGGGAUAAGGUAUCAUGGAGGGUGAGAAUCCCGUUCAUGGUUAAUCUUAAGGAAGCUCUACGAUACGUUUUCCAAGAGUCGAGUUGUUUGGGAUUGCAGCU